CCAAUAGCGUAUAUUAAAGUUGUUGCAGUUAAAAAGCUCGUAGUUGAAUUUCGGGGUUAGUAGGUUGGUCAUGCCUCUGGUAUGUACUGGUCUCACUGAUUCCUCCUUCCUGAUGAACCUUAAUGCCAUUAAUUUGGUGUUUUGGGGAAUUUGGACUGUUACUUUGAAAAAAUUAGAGUGUUUAAAGCAAGCUAACGCUUGAAUACAUUAGCAUGGAAUAAUGAAAUAGGACGUUCGAUCCUAUUUUGUUGGUUUCUAGGAUUGACGUAAUGAUUAAUAGGGAUAGUUGGGGGCAUUAGUAUUCAAUUGUCAGAGGUGAAAUUCUUGGAUUUAUUGAAGACUAACUACUGCGAAAGCAUUUGCCAAGGAUGUUUUCAUUAAUCAAGAACGAAAGUUAGGGGAUCGAAGACGAUCAGAUACCGUCGUAGUCUUAACCAUAAACUAUGCCGACUAGGGAUCGGAUGAUGUUAAUUUUUUAAUGACUCAUUCGGCGCCUUAC
rnacentral:rRNA from 1 species